UGCCAGCCGCCGCGGUAAUACAGAGGUGGCAAGCGUUGUUCGGUAUCACUGGGCUUAAAGGGCGCGUAGGCGGCGCAGAACGGUCCGGGUGAAAUCCCACGGCUUAACCGUGGAAUGGCCUGGGCUACGGCUGUGCUAGACAGCAUCAGGGGAAGGUGGAACUCCGGGUGGAGCGGUGAAAUGCGUAGAUAUCCGGAGGAACGCCGGUGGCGAAAGCGACCUUCUGGGGUGCUUGUGACGCUGAGGCGCGAAAGCUAGGGGAGCGAACGGGAUUAGAUA
rnacentral:rRNA from 1 species